UACGUAGGGGGCUAGCGUUGUCCGGAAUCAUUGGGCGUAAAGCGCGUGUAGGCGGUCCGGUAAGUCCGCUGUGAAAGUCGGGGGCUCAACCCUCGGAUGCCGGUGGAUACUGUCGGGCUAGAGUGCGGGAGAGGCGAGUGGAAUUCCUGGUGUAGCGGUGAAAUUCGUAGAUAUCGGGAGGAACACCGGUGGCGAAGGCGGCGAUCUGGGUAGAUACUGACGCUGAGGUGCGAAAGCGUGGGGAGCAAACAGG
rnacentral:rRNA from 1 species